rnacentral:rRNA from 1 species
AUACGGGGGGUGCAAGCGUUAAUCGGAAUUACUGGGCGUAAAGCGCGCGUAGGCGGUUUGCUCAGUCGGAUGUGAAAGCCCAGGGCUCAACCUUGGAACUGCAUACGAUACUGGCAAACUAGAGUGUGAGAGAGGAUAGUGGAAUUUCCGGUGUAGCGGUGAAAUGCGUAGAUAUCGGAAGGAACAUCAGUGGGGAAGGCGACUGUCUGGCUCAACACUGACGCUGAGGUGCGAAAGCGUGGGUAGCAAACAGGAUUAGAAACCCUAGUAGUCC